rnacentral:rRNA from 1 species
CAAGACCUCGCGCGAUUGGAGCGGCCGAUAUCAGAUUAGGUAGUUGGUGAGGUAAAGGCUCACCAAGCCGACGAUCUGUAGCUGGUCUGAGAGGACGACCAGCCACACUGGGACUGAGACACGGCCCAGACUCCUACGGGAGGCAGCAGUGGGGGAAUUUUGGACAAUGGGCGCAAGCCUGAUCCAGCAAUGCCGCGUGCAGGAUGAAGGCCUUCGGGUUGUAAACUGCUUUUGUACGGAACGAAACGGUGAGCUCUAAUACAGUUUGCUAAUGACGGUACCGUAAGAAUAAGCACCGGCUAACUACGUG